rnacentral:rRNA from 1 species
UAACGCUUGNGGCGUGCUUAACACAUGCAAGUCGAACGAUGAAGCCCUUCGGGGUGGAUUAGUGGCGAACGGGUGAGUAACACGUGGGCAAUCUGCCCUUCACUCUGGGACAAGCCCUGGAAACGGGGUCUAAUACCGGAUAANACUCCUGCCUGCAUGGGCGGGGGUUGAAAGCUCCGGCGGUGAAGGAUGAGCCCGCGGCCUAUCAGCUUGUUGGUGGGGUAAUGGCCCACCAAGGCGACGACGGGUAGCCGGCCUGAGAGGGCGACCGGCCACACUGGGACUGAGACACGGCCCAGACUCCUACGGGAGGCAGCAGUGGGGAAUAUUGCACAAUGGGCGAAAGCCUGAUGCAGCGACGCCGCGUGAGGGAUGACGGCCUUCGGGUUGUAAACCUCUUUCAGCAGGGAAGAAGCGAAAGUGACGGUACCUGCAGAAGAAGCGCCGGCUAACUACGUGCCAGCAGCCGCGGUAAUACGUAGGGCGCAAGCGUUGUCCGGAAUUAUUGGGCGUAAAGAGCUCGUAGGCGGCUUGUCACGUCGGAUGUGAAAGCCCGAGGCUUAACCUCGGGUCUGCAUUCGAUACGGGCUAGCUAGAGUGUGGUAGGGGAGAUCGGAAUUCCUGGUGUAGCGGUGAAAUGCGCAGAUAUCAGGAGGAACACCGGUGGCGAAGGCGGAUCUCUGGGCCAUUACUGACGCUGAGGAGCGAAAGCGUGGGGAGCGAACAGGAUUAGAUACCCUGGUAGUCCACGCCGUAAACGUUGGGAACUAGGUGUUGGCGACAUUCCACGUCGUCGGUGCCGCAGCUACGCAUNANUUCCCCCCUGGGGAUNCNGCCCANGGUAAACUNAANGANUNACGGGGCCCNCCAACNGCGGACNNUGGUUAUUGACCACCGAAAACUUNCAGGUUNNUUNCCGNAGAUAAAANNGCCCCUUGGGCGNUNAGGGGCUGGUNCCNNCUGUCGGNNUNGGUAACCCAAACCACCUNNNGUNCNCUCCUUGGGAGGGACAGAACCGGUAU